rnacentral:rRNA from 1 species
GAUGAACGCUAGCGGUAGGCCUAACACAUGCAAGCCGAGCGGUAUUUGAUCUUCGGAACAGAGAGAGCGGCGCACAGGUGCGGAACACGUGUGCAACCUGCCUUUAUCUGUGGGAUAGCCUUUCGAAAGGAAGAUUAAUACCCCAUAAUAUAUUGAGGAGCAUCAUUUGAUAUUGAAAACUCCGGUGGAUAGAGAUGAGCACGCGUAAGAUUAGAUAGUUGGUGAGGUAACGGCUCACCAAGUCAAUGAUCUUUAGGGGGGCUGAGAGGGUGAUCCCCCAGACUGGUACUGCGACACGGACCAGAAUCCUACGGGAGGCAGCAGUGAGGAAUAUUGUACGAUGGGGUAGCGCCUGAUCCAGCCAUCCCGCGUGAAGGACGCCUGCCCUAUGAGUUGUAAUCUUCUUUUGUAUAGGGAUAAACCUACUCUCGUGAGAGUAGCUGAAGGUACUAUACGAAUAAGCACCGGCUAACUCCGUG